UACGUAGGGGGCGAGCGUUGUCCGGAAUUACUGGGCGUAAAGGGUUCGCAGGCGGCAUGGCAAGUCUGAUGUAAAAGGCGAAAGCUCAACUUUCGUAAGCCUCGGAAACUGUCAAGCUUGAGUGUAGGAGAGGUAAGUGGAAUUCCUGGUGUAGCGGUGAAAUGCGUAGAUAUUAGGAAGAACACCGGUGGCGAAGGCGGCUUGCUGGACGUCAACUGACGCUGAGGCUCGAAAGCGUGGGUAGCAAACAGG
rnacentral:rRNA from 1 species